CCCUGGCUCAGGACGAACGCUGGCGGCGUGCCUAAUACAUGCAAGUCGAGCGGAAUGAUGAAGAAGCUUGCUUCUUCUGAUUUUAGCGGCGGACGGGUGAGUAACACGUGGGCAACCUACCUUGUAGAUUGGGAUAACUCCGGGAAACCGGGGCUAAUACCGAAUAAUCCAUUUUGCUUCAUGGCAAGAUGUUGAAAGGCGGCUUCGGCUGUCACUACGAGAUGGGCCCGCGGCGUAUUAGCUAGUUGGUAGGGUAAUGGCCUACCAAGGCGACGAUACGUAGCCGACCUGAGAGGGUGAUCGGCCACACUGGGACUGAGACACGGCCCAGACUCCUACGGGAGGCAGCAGUAGGGAAUCUUCCACAAUGGACGAAAGUCUGAUGGAGCAACGCCGCGUGAGUGAAGAAGGUUUUCGGAUCGUAAAACUCUGUUGUAAGGGAAGAACACGUACGAGAGUAACUGCUCGUACCUUGACGGUACCUUAUUAGAAAGCCACGGCUAA
rnacentral:rRNA from 2 species